UCCAGGUAAAUCCGGUUCACUUUAACACUGAGGCGUGAUGACGAGGCACUACGGUGCUGAAGCAACAAAUGCCCUGCUUCCAGGAAAAGCCUCUAAGCAUCAGGUAACAUCAAAUCGUACCCCAAACCGACACAGGUGGUCAGGUAGAGAAUACCAAGGCGCUUGAGAGAACUCGGGUGAAGGAACUAGGCAAAAUGGUGCCGUAACUUCGGGAGAAGGCACGCUGACACGUAGGUGAAGUGAUUUACUCAUGGAGCUGAAGUCAGUCGAAGAUACCAGCUGGCUGCAACUGUUUAUUAAAAACACAGCACUGUGCAAACACGAAAGUGGACGUAUACGGUGUGACGCCUGCCCGGUGCCGGAAGGUUAAUUGAUGGGGUCAGCGCAAGCGAAGCUCCUGAUCGAAGCCCCGGUAAACGGCGGCCGUAACUAUAACGGUCCUAAGGUAGCGAAAUUCCUUGUCGGGUAAGUUCCGACCUGCACGAAUGGCGUAAUGAUGGCCAGGCUGUCUCCACCCGAGACUCAGUGAAAUUGAACUCGCUGUGAAGAUGCAGUGUACCCGCGGCAAGACGGAAAGACCCCGUGAACCUUUACUAUAGCUUGACACUGAACAUUGAGCCUUGAUGUGUAGGAUAGGUGGGAGGCUUUGAAGUGUGGACGCCAGUCUGCAUGGAGCCGACCUUGAAAUACCACCCUUUAAUGUUUGAUGUUCUAACGUGGACCCGUGAUCCGGGUUGCGGACAGUGUCUGGUGGGUAGUUUGACUGGGGCGGUCUCCUCCUAAAGAGUAACGGAGGAGCACGAAGGUUGGCUAAUCCUGGUCGGACAUCAGGAGGUUAGUGCAAUGGCAUAAGCCAGCUUGACUGCGAGCGUGACGGCGCGAGCAGGUGCGAAAGCAGGUCAUAGUGAUCCGGUGGUUCUGAAUGGAAGGGCCAUCGCUCAACGGAUAAAAGGUACUCCGGGGAUAACAGGCUGAUACCGCCCAAGAGUUCAUAUCGACGGCGGUGUUUGGCACCUCGAUGUCGGCUCAUCACAUCCUGGGGCUGAAGUAGGUCCCAAGGGUAUGGCUGUUCGCCAUUUAAAGUGGUACGCGAGCUGGGUUUAGAACGUCGUGAGACAGUUCGGUCCCUAUCUGCCGUGGGCGCUGGAGAACUGAGGGGGGCUGCUCCUAGUACGAGAGGACCGGAGUGGACGCAUCACUGGUGUUCGGGUUGUCAUGCCAAUGGCACUGCCCGGUAGCUAAAUGCGGAAGAGAUAAGUGCUGAAAGCAUCUAAGCACGAAACUUGCCCCGAGAUGAGUUCUCCCUGAGACUUUAGGUCUCCUGAAGGAACGUUGAAGACGACGACGUUGAUAGGCCGGGUGUGUAAGCGCAGCGAUGCGUUGAGCUAACCGGUACUAAUGAACCGUGAGGCUUAACCUUACA
rnacentral:rRNA from 1 species